UGUUGGGAUUACAGGCGUGAGCCACCCCAGGCUGAGGCUCUGCAUUUCUAACAAGCUCUCUGGUGACAAAAGUGUGAGUGUGGGAACAGUGCUUUGAAAAGCCAGGCUCAAGAUGCCCCUUACAGCCGGUAACUGCCAAGUGACAUCCCUGCCUGCCUGUGUUUGUGUGUGCUUAUAUUUGAUCUAAGUUGUGCUGCUUUCAUUGUCACAGAUGAAAAGGAAUGAAGACAGCCAACUAUUGUUUGGCAGCCUCCUGGUUAACAAGAACGUGCACCAUUGUCAGAGCAGAAUCCAUGAGAUAGAAUUGAUGGGCACACGUACUUGGUGGAGCAGAAUUGGGAGCUCUGUGCCAUCAGCACUCUCCGUCCCUACUCGCCCUUCAUUUCUGCUGUCUGGGCCUGACUUCUCUGGGCACAGACUUUCUCCAGGCAUUCCUGACAUCUGGGACUUUGUGACAGGCUGUUUGGAUUAGAUGGCAAUUCCCUGUCAGCCACCCUGGAAACUCACAUAGGUGCCCACAGGGACUUCGCCUCACUAUCAGAUCAUGAUACAUGUGACCUUCCCUUGCACAUAGCCUUGGCCUAGAAGACACUUGGAAACUGGGUGAUGAGUGAAAUCGUGGGAGGCUGCAGAGCAGAGAAGAACGAGCUGGAUUUUGAGGUCUCUCCGACUUGAGCUUGGAUCAUGGAUCUGCUACUUUCCAGUCCUGUCAGUUCGGGCAACAUGUGCAGUCUCUUGGAACCUGUAUCUUCUUCUGUAAUAAUAACAAUAUCUCACUGGAAAAGUUGUGAAUAGGAAAUAAAUAAUGAGCGUAACAUCCCCCAAGAACACGUCAUCCAUAGUAACCACUCAACUAGGAAAUGACAGCUUAAAAAAUGUGUGUGGGGGGGACUGAUGAGGAUCUUACAUAGGUUGAAAAUGUGAUGUGAUUAUUCCAUGACAGCAAAGAAUUAGAGUUCAGAAACAUAGCCUGCCACAUGGGGCACAGGACAGAGCUUCCCAGUGGGUGCUCUCCAAAGUCCCCGUCAUGAAAUUCAUGGUAGUGAAAUUUUUUGUGUGAAGGAAUACAAAGUCACACUGGUUUUGUUUACUUAUUAAUUUAUUGGUAAGUAUUUCAGGUCUUGAGCUUCUGAUCAUUUGCUAAUAUUUAUGGCUUUCAUCCCUGGCUCUAUAUUUCUGUUCCUUUUGUGUUUUCCAAUACACAUCAAGGAAUAACUUUCUG